rnacentral:rRNA from 1 species
GAUGAACGCUGGCGGCGUGCUUAACACAUGCAAGUCGAACGGAAAGGCUCCUGCUUGCAGGGGUACUCGAGUGGCGAACGGGUGAGUAACACGUGGGUGAUCUGCCCUGCACUUCGGGAUAAGCCUGGGAAACUGGGUCUAAUACCGGAUAGGAUCACAUUUUGGAUGGUGUGGUGGAAAGUUUUUCGGUGUGGGAUGAGCUCGCGGCCUAUCAGCUUGUUGGUGGGGUAAUGGCCUACCAAGGCGUCGACGGGUAGCCGGCCUGAGAGGGUGUACGGCCACAUUGGGACUGAGAUACGGCCCAGACUCCUACGGGAGGCAGCAGUGGGGAAUAUUGCACAAUGGGCGCAAGCCUGAUGCAGCGACGCCGCGUGGGGGAUGACGGCCUUCGGGUUGUAAACUCCUUUCGCUAGGGACGAAGCGCAAGUGACGGUACCUGGAGAAGAAGCACCGGCUAACUACGUG